rnacentral:rRNA from 1 species
UUACACAUGCAGUCGUACGAGAACGCUCUAGCUUGCUAGAGCAAGUAAAGUGGCGCACGGGUGAGUAACGCGUGGGUAAUCUACCUUCGAAUUGGGGAUAACGUUGCGAAAGCGACGCUAAUACCGAAUGACAUCCAUUGAACCUCGGUUUUUUGGAUCAAGGGUGGCCUCUGCAUGUAAGCUACUGUUUGAAGAUGAGCCCGCGUACCAUUAGCUUGUUGGUAGGGUAAUGGCCUACCAAGGCAACGAUGGUUAGCUGGUCUGAGAGGAUGAUCAGCCACACUGGAACUGACACGCGGUCCAGACUCCUACGGGAGGCAGCAGUGAGGAAUUUUGCGCAAUGGGGGAAACCCUGACGCAGCAACGCCGCGUGAGUGAUGAAGGCUUUCGGGUCGUAAAGCUCUGUCAAGUGGGAAGAACCUAUAUAAUGUUAAUACCAUUAUAUACUGACGGUACCACUGAAGGAAGCACCGGCUAACUCCGUGCCAGCAGCCGCGGUAAUACGGGGGGUGCAAGCGUUAUUCGGAAUCAUUGGGCGUAAAGAGCACGUAGGCGGCCUGGUUAGUCAGAUGUGAAAGCCCGGGGCUUAACCCCGGAAGUGCAUUUGAUACUGCCAGGCUUGAGUAUGGGGAGAGGGAAGUGGGAAUUCC